GAUGAACGCUGGCGGCGUGCCUAAUACAUGCAAGUCGAGCGAACGGACGAGAAGCUUGCUUCUCUGAUGUUAGCGGCGGACGGGUGAGUAACACGUGGAUAACCUACCUAUAAGACUGGGAUAACUUCGGGAAACCGGAGCUAAUACCGGAUAAUAUUUUGAACCGCAUUGUUCAAAAGUGAAAGACGGUCUUGCUGUCACUUAUAGAUGGAUCCGCGCUGCAUUAGCUAGUUGGUAAGGUAACGGCUUACCAAGGCAACGAUGCAUAGCCGAAGUGAGAGAGUGAUAGGCGACACUGGAACUGAGACACGGACAAGACUCCUACGGGAGGCAGCAGUAGGGAAUCUUCCGCAAUGGGCGAAAGCCUGACGGAGCAACGCCGCGUGAGUGAUGAAGGUCUUCGGAUCGUAAAACUCUGUUAUUAGGGAAGAACAUAUGUGUAAGUAACUGUGCACAUCUUGACGGUACCUAAUCAGAAAGCCACGGCUAACUACGUG
rnacentral:rRNA from 1 species